rnacentral:rRNA from 1 species
GACGAACGCUGGCGGCGUGCCUAAUACAUGCAAGUCGAACGCAGUGGGGACGGGUGAGUAAAACGUGGGUAACCUCCCAUCAGAGGGGAAAACACUUGGAAACAGGUGCUAAACCGAUACUGAUGGAUGGACCCGCGGUGAAUGUGCUAGUUGGUGAGGUAACGGCUCACCAAGGCCACGAUGCAUAGCCGACCUGAGAGUGGGAUCGGCCACACUGGGACGGAGCCACGGCCCAGCUUCCUACGGGAGGCAGCAGUAGGGAAUCUGCGGCAAUGGACGAAAGUCUGACCGAGCAACGCCGCGUGAGUGAAGAAGGUUUUCGGAUCGGAAACCUCUGUUGUUAGAGAAGCGGUAUCUAAACAGAAAGCCACGGCUAACUACGUGCCAGCAGCCGCGGUAAUAC